GGUAAUGUCAGCUAAUAAAGCUUUUGGGCCCAUACCCCAAACACGCAGGUUCAAGUCCUGCCAUUGCCA
rnacentral:tRNA from 1 species